UUUACCCAGGUCUGUGGUUGCGGGCGCAAGCCCUAGUUCAUGGCAGACGAGGCCGAAAGGAUCCACGUAAGCCCGGGUGUGCGCACCCGGGCGAGCAUGGCUCGUCCUAGAAGUAAGUCGCACCGCCCGAAACCAAGCCGAGGCGUCCAGCCUCACGGGCGAGAGGGCCAUCAGUGGGGGACCGUGCAGUCCCGAAGCGAGAGCCCCGGUGUGCGAGUGUGGGGUCAAAUACCAGGUCAGCUGGGUAAA
rnacentral:ncRNA from 16 species